rnacentral:tRNA from 1 species
UCUAAUGUGGCAGAAUAAUAUGCUAUGAGCUUAAAAUUCAUUUAUAAACAAAUUUGUUUCUUUAGAA